rnacentral:pre_miRNA from 1 species
AACUUGAUAGAUAUAUGCAUCAACGAGAUUUGCUAUUAUUUUGUUGCAUAGUCUAUUAAGUUGG